rnacentral:rRNA from 1 species
GAUGAACGCUGGCGGCGUGCUUAACACAUGCAAGUCGAGCGGAGAUAUAAAAAGGAAGCCCUUCGGGGUGGAAUUUUUACAUCUUAGCGGCGGACGGGUGCGUAACACGUGGGUAACCUGCCCCUAUCACUGGGAUAACACACUGAAAAGUGUGCUAAUACCAGAUAACAUAAGCUUUUGGCAUCAUUAGCUUAUCAAAGAAUUUCGGAUAGGGAUGGGCCCGCGUCUGAUUAGCUAGUUGGUGAGGUAACGGCUCACCAAGGCAACGAUCAGUAGCCGACCUGAGAGGGUGAUCGGCCACACUGGAACUGAGACACGGCCCAGACUCCUACGGGAGGCAGCAGUGGGGAAUCUUAGACAAUGGGGGCAACCCUGAUCUAGCCAUGCCGCGUGAGUGAUGAAGGCCCUAGGGUUGUAAAGCUCUUUCAGCUGGGAAGAUAAUGACGGUACCAGCAGAAGAAGCCCCGGCUAACUACGUGCCAGCAGCCGC